ACAUGCAGUCGUGCGGACAUGAUCGCGGUAGCUUGCUCCCUGAUGUUAGCGGCGGACGGGUGAGUAACACGUGGGUAACCUGCCUGUAAGACUGGGAUAACUCCGGGAAACCGGGGCUAAUACCGGAUGGUUGUCUGAACCGCAUGGUUCAGACAUAAAAGGUGGCUUCGGCUACCACUUACAGAUGGACCCGCGGCGCAUUAGCUAGUUGGUGAGGUAACGUCUCACCAAGGCUACAAUGCGUAGC
rnacentral:rRNA from 1 species